UAGAGGCGGACCUUACGCAGAACGAACGCUGGCGGCGUGCCUAACACAUGCAAGUCGAACGGGGUCCAUGAGAGCUUUCUUCAAUAGAAAAAGAGUGGCGAAUGGGUGAGUAACACGUGAGAAACCUGCCUCGGAGUGGGGAAUAACUCGGGGAAACCCGAGCUAAUUCUCCUUACCCUCAGAUGGUCGCAUGGCCGACUGAGGAAAGAAUUUCGCUCUGAGAGGGUCUCGCGGCCUAUCAGCUAGUUGGUGGGGUAACGGCCUACCAAGGCAACGACGGUUUUUUUUUUUCUGCCAGAACGAUCAGCUUUUUUGUUUUUUUAGACACGGCCCAGACUCCUUUUUGUGGCAGCAGUGGGGAAUCUUGCGCAAUGGGCGAAAGCCUGACGCAGCAACGCCGCGUGCGGGAUGACGGCCUUCGUGGUUGUAAACCGCUUUCUUAGGGACGAAAAUGACGGUACCUGCAGAACAAGCCCCGGCUAACUACGUGCCAGCAGCCGCGGUAAUACGUAUGGGGCGAGCGUUGUCCGGAUUCAUUGGGCGUAAAGAGCUCGUAGGCGGUUCACUAAGUAGGGUUGUUUAAAGCUCCCGAGCUCAACUCGGAGAGGGCCAUUUGAUACUGCUGGUGACUCGAAUCCAUUAGGGGGGAGCGUGGGAAUUCCCGGGUGUAGCCGGGUGAAAUGCGCAAAUAUCAGGAGGAGCACCAACCGGCCAAAGGCGGUGCUUCUGGGCUGGAAAUUGACUCUUACGAGCCAAAAGUGUCGGUAAUAAAA
rnacentral:rRNA from 1 species